UAUUAAGGCCUUGAAUACAGUUGUUCCAGUUGUCCAGAUCACAGUCUUCAAUGUCUGUUUCAAAGACAUUUGUUGCUGAUAUUUUAAUAGGAAUAUUAGAAAAGCUGGAUAUAACACUGUUCAUCACUUGGACCGUAUGAUGACAUGGACCAUACUGGAUCACUUUUGAACCUUUACCCUGAUGCUAAAAUACAGAUCUCGUCGGGAAAUAUCACCAAAUCAAUGUGACCUAAAUUUGGUGAAAUAAUGAAGAUAUACUUCCUUGUGGGAACUCAAAAUCUAAUUGUUCACAUGGGAAAACAUUCAGAUUUCUUUAGUACAAGGGAGUGCCUGUAUUUCCAAUAAUGACAUCACCAGAAUCCUAUCCAAAUGUACACUAAAGAGGAUACACUUGGAAUCCAGGGGCUUAGAGGCAGCUGGCUGGGGGAAGGCUGCCAGCUUUAAUCAUUCACCUUCCCCUGUGCAAAGACAGCGAGGAGAAAACGCAGCUGAACAAGGCUGAGAGGGCAUGAAAUUGCGUUAAGCAACACUCAUGACAAUGACUGGAUUUGCUAUUUUAGAGAUUUCAAAAGAAGUUGAGAAGUCAGUAAGACUUCUUGAGUUCUAGGCUUGGAAUUGACACACCACUACUUCUACUGUAUUCUGUUGACCAACGCACAUCAAAAGUUGUCAAGGGAAUGUUAAAUGCCAAGAAUCUGAGCCUAUGGAGUCUGUAUUGAAGACUGUUCUAACAUACUUCUCAAAGGUGGAGUAAAUCUAUAAAGAGAACCUGUUUACCACUGGUUAUGUGGGAGCUGAGAUGGACAUGAAGAGCCACAGGAGAAGACCAGAGCGGGAGAGUCACUAGAACAACUACGGUCCUGCAAAAGGUAGCCAGUUUGCAUAUAGGAAGCAAGAUUCUAGAGGAACAAAUUCAAGUAAGGUUCCCACUUUCUUGGCAU